GAAGGUGUAGCUCAGUGGUAGUGUGCGUGCUUAGCAUGCAUGAGGUCCUAAGUUCAAUCCCCAGUACCUCCA
rnacentral:tRNA from 1 species